rnacentral:rRNA from 1 species
GACGAACGCUGGCGGCGUGCUUAACACAUGCAAGUCGAACGGAAAGGCCCUGCUUUUGUGGGGUGCUCGAGUGGCGAACGGGUGAGUAACACGUGAGUAACCUGCCCUUGACUUUGGGAUAACUUCAGGAAACUGGGGCUAAUACCGGAUAGGAGCUCCUGCUGCAUGGUGGGGGUUGGAAAGUUUCGGCGGUUGGGGAUGGACUCGCGGCUUAUCAGCUUGUUGGUGGGGUAGUGGCUUACCAAGGCUUUGACGGGUAGCCGGCCUGAGAGGGUGACCGGCCACAUUGGGACUGAGAUACGGCCCAGACUCCUACGGGAGGCAGCAGUGGGGAAUAUUGCACAAUGGGCGGAAGCCUGAUGCAGCAACGCCGCGUGCGGGAUGACGGCCUUCGGGUUGUAAACCGCUUUCGCCUGUGACGAAGCGUGAGUGACGGUAAUGGGUAAAGAAGCACCGGCUAACUACGUGCCAGCAGCCGCGGUGAUACGUAGGGUGCGAGCGUUGUCCGGAUUUAUUGGGCGUAAAGGGCUCGUAGGUGGUUGAUCGCGUCGGAAGUGUAAUCUUGGGGCUUAACCCUGAGCGUGCUUUCGAUACGGGUUGACUUGAGGAAGGUAGGGGAGAAUGGAAUUCCUGGUGGAGCGGUGGAAUGCGCAGAUAUCAGGAGGAACACCAGUGGCGAAGGCGGUUCUCUGGGCCUUUCCUGACGCUGAGGAGCGAAAGCGUGGGGAGCGAACAGGCUUAGAUACCCUGGUAGUCCACGCUGUAAACGGUGGGUACUAGGUGUGGGGUCCAUUCCACGGGUUCCGUGCCGUAGCUAACGCUUUAAGUACCCCGCCUGGGGAGUACGGCCGCAAGGCUAAAACUCAAAGGAAUUGACGGGGCCCCGCACAAGCGGCGGAGCAUGCGGAUUAAUUCGAUGCAACGCGUAGAACCUUACCUGGGUUUGACAUGGAUCGGGAGUGCUCAGAGAUGGGUGUGCCUCUUUUGGGGUCGGUUCACAGGUGGUGCAUGCCUGUCGUCAGCUCGUGUCGUGAGAUGUUGGGUUAAGUCCCGCAACGAGCGCAACCCUUGUUCACUGUUGCCAGCACGUUAUGGUGGGGACUCAGUGGAGACCGCCGGGGUCAACUCGGAGGAAGGUGGAGAUGACGUCAAGUCCUCAUGCCCCUUAUGUCCAGGGCUUCACGCAUGCUACAAUGGCUGGUACAGAGAGUGGCGAGCCUGUGAGGGUGAGCGAAUCUCGGAAAGCCGGUCUCAGUUCGGAUUGGGGUCUGCAACUCGACCUCAUGAAGUCGGAGUCGCUAGUAAUCGCAGAUCAGCAACGCUGCGGUGAAUACGUUCCCGGG